CCUACGGGAGGCAGCAGUAGGGAAUAUUGCUCAAUGGGGGAAACCCUGAAGCAGCAACGCCGCGUGGAGGAUGAAGGUUUUCGGAUCGUAAACUCCUGUUGUUAGAGAAGAUAAUGACGGUAUCUAACGAAUAAGCACCGGCUAACUCCGUGCCAGCAGCCGCGGUAAUACGGAGGGUGCAAGCGUUACUCGGAAUCACGGGGCGUAAAGAGCGCGUAGGCGGGAUAGCAAGUCAGAUGUGAAAUCCUAUGGCUUAACCAUAGAACUGCAUUUGAAACUGUUAUUCUAGAGUAUGGGAGAGGUAGGUGGAAUUCUUGGUGUAGGGGUAAAAUCCGUAGAGAUCAAGAGGAAUACUCAUUGCGAAGGCGACCUGCUAGAACAUAACUGACGCUGAUGCGCGAAAGCGUGGGGAGCAAACAGGAUUAGAUACCCCGGUAGUC
rnacentral:rRNA from 1 species